rnacentral:lncRNA from 1 species
CCCACAGGGAUGGUGGGAGUAUUAAUUAACAUGACAUUUGAGAAAGCAAUGUGCAAAAUGAAGGUUCAUCUAACCUUUGAUGUAGCAGUUGCACUUGUAUGAAUUUAUGCUUUAGCUGUACCUACAUUCUUAGCAUUCAAAGGCUAUUUAUCAGCAUUGAAUAAGCAAAAUAUCUAUUUACUCCACCUAACAGUGCUCUGCCUUAACAGUGCUCUGCCUUCUCCCUGUAAAACAAAAUGAAUGCUGAUGACCUCUCAGAGCUAGUGGCUGCUUUUUCUUUAGUACACCCCUGACUGUGGUUCAUGAAUCAUCUAGGGCUUUUCCUAUAGUUUCUGGGUGACUCUUCAAACACUGAAAAGAAGGAAGCUAUAUCUACAUGUAUGCAAUAUGGAAAGAUAGUUUAGGUAUAUUGUAAAGGUAAGCAAUCUAUUUAUAGUAUAUUAUGUAUAGGAUGAUCUUAUUUAUGUUAACAAAAAGUCUUAAAUAGAUAU